GACGAACGCUGGCGGCGUGCUUAACACAUGCAAGUCGAGCGGUAAGGCCCUUUCGGGGGUACGACGAGCGGCGAACGGGUGAGUAACACGUGGGUGACCUGCCCUCAGCUCUGGGAUAAGCCUGGGAAACCGGGUCUAAUACCGGAUAUGACCUCAUGACGCAUGUUGUGGGGUGGAAAGCCUUGUGCGGCUGAGGAUGGGCCCGCGGCCUAUCAGCUUGUUGGUGGGGUGAUGGCCUACCAAGGCGACGACGGGUAGCCGGCCUGAGAGGGCGACCGGCCACACUGGGACUGAGACACGGCCCAGACUCCUACGGGAGGCAGCAGUGGGGAAUCUUGCGCAAUGGGCGAAAGCCUGACGCAGCGACGCCGCGUGAGGGAUGACGGCCUGGUGUAAC
rnacentral:rRNA from 1 species